rnacentral:lncRNA from 1 species
GGUAGAUGAUCUCUGCGAUCAAUAAUCUGUGGUAAGUCGAGGUCCACUAUUGAGUCACGCAUGUACCCGACCUUUAUAGGUAUCCACUUGGAUCUUCAUCUAGGAUGCUUUCUCCAGAUCGGAUCCAUCUUCUCUAACUAGGAUCUAGGACUCUCGAUCAGCAAUGAUCUGACCUCCGAGGUCGACGGAUUGACUCUCGCCACAGCCUUCUUCUUCCUUCGAUCGGAUAGCACCUGAACCCCUUCAAGCGCUUACUAGAUCAGCCCAACUCCUUUGGGUGUGGAGGAUGAGGUAGCCUACUCUAGGCAUAUGAGGAGAGGGGAGAAUUGAUGGAGAAUAAUAGCCUAACACUUAGACAUGUGGGAAUGAGAGAAAUCA